rnacentral:rRNA from 1 species
GCUUAUCACCAUUCCAGAUUGAAUAUACCCGUUCUCGUCUGAUCUCGGAAGUCAAGCAAUCUCGGGCUUGGGGAAACUUGGAUGGGUGACCGCUUGGUAA